rnacentral:rRNA from 1 species
CAGUAGCCGCGGUAAGACGAACCGUCCGAACGUUAUUCGGAAUUACUGGGCUUAAAGGGUGCGUAGGCGGCCCUACAAGUCAGGUGUGAAAUCCCACGGCUCAACCGUGGAACUGCGCUUGAAACUGUAGGGCUUGAGGGAGAUAGGGGUGAGCGGAACUGAUGGUGGAGCGGUGAAAUGCGUUGAUAUCAUCAGGAACACCGGCGGCGAAGGCGGCUCACUGGGUCUCUACUGACGCUGAGGCACGAAAGCUAGGGGAGCGAACGGGAUUAGAUACCCCGGUAGUCCCUGUCUCUUAUAA